rnacentral:rRNA from 1 species
UACGGAGGGGGCUAGCGUUGUUCGGAAUUACUGGGCGUAAAGCGCACGUAGGCGGCUUUGUAAGUUAGAGGUGAAAGCCCGGAGCUCAACUCCGGAAUUGCCUUUAAGACUGCAUCGCUUGAAUCAUGGAGAGGUGAGUGGAAUUCCGAGUGUAGAGGUGAAAUUCGUAGAUAUUCGGAAGAACACCAGUGGCGAAGGCGACUCACUGGACAUGUAUUGACGCUGAGGUGCGGAAGCGUGGGGAGCAAACAGG